rnacentral:rRNA from 1 species
GUGCCAGCAGCCGCGGUAAGACGAAGGAUGCAAGCGUUAUCCGGAUUCAUUGGGUUUAAAGGGUGCGUAGGCGGCCCUGUAAGUCAGUGGUGAAAUCCCUCCGCUUAACGGAGGAACUGCCAUUGAUACUGCAGGGCUUGAGUACAGAUGAUGUUGGCGGAAUAUGACAUGUAGCGGUGAAAUGCAUAGAUAUGUCAUAGAACACCGAUUGCGAAGGCAGCUGACAAAACUGUAACUGACGCUGAGGCACGAAAGUGUGGGGAUCAAACAGGAUUAGAUACCCUGGUAGUCCACACUGUAAACUAUGAUCACUCGCUGUGUGCGAUAUACAGUACGCGGCUAAGCGAAAGCGUUAAGUGAUCCACCUGGGGAGUACGCCGGCAACGGUGAAACUUAAAUGAAUUGACGGGG